CAUCAUCAUCAUCAUCAUCAUCAUAUUCAUCGCGACGAUGCUGCUUCGAUCUGACCAGAGCAUCAUCGUCGAAUUCAGAAUCAGCCGCCCUCCGCGCCUCAGCGAUUCGCCGGCGCCGUUCCUCCGAGUGCAGCUCCAGCGAGUGGAAAACGCCGUCGCCGCCAGAUAACGUGCCGUUGGGAAGAAGCUUGUCGGAAUUCGCGACG